rnacentral:rRNA from 1 species
AAAGGUUCCCUCAGAAUGGUUGGAAAUCAUUCGUAGCGUGCAAAGGCAGAAGGGAGCUUGACUGCGAGACCUACAAGUCGAGCAGGGACGAAAGUCGGGCUUAGUGAUCCGGCGGUGCCGUAUGGAAGGGCCGUCGCUCAACGGAUAAAAGCUACCCCGGGGAUAACAGGCUUAUCUCCCCCAAGAGUCCACAUCGACGGGGAGGUUUGGCACCUCGAUGUCGGCUCAUCGCAUCCUGGGGCUGUAGUCGGUCCCAAGGGUUGGGCUGUUCGCCCAUUAAAGCGGUACGCGAGCUGGGUUCAGAACGUCGUGAGACAGUUCGGUCCCUAUCCGUCGUGGGCGUUAGAAGUUUGAGAGUAGCUGUCCUUAGU